UGGAUUUCACAGUACACGUACAUUUCUCCUUUAAACGAACAUUUCUCCUGCCAACUUGGAGACUAUCAGGAGCCCAAGGGAACCGGGGAGUGGUUCAUGUUUAACAACUUUACAGACGCUUGGACUGGUCGAGUUCUGGUUUUCCCGGCAAAGAUAACCUUCCUUUUCGGAGUUCGGAUGGAUCUGCCUACUUGAACGCGGAUGCUGUCACAUCACUUGUCCCAACAAUACCCGACCCAAAACUAUUUAAUUUUUCCAUUACACUGGGCAUCCCGUACUAUGUAAUUGCUACCGACUACACGACCUACACGGUGGAAUGGGCCUGUAGUCAGGUUGGAUUAAUCAAUUUCCAAUUUAUUUGGAUUUUGUCCCGCGGCCUGCCAUUCACAGACGACACAUUUAGAAAUGUCACCAAGCAGAUCAGAGCGAAAGGAAUUAGCACGAAUUGGCUUGAAAAGUGCGACACAAGUGGGUGUGCCAAUUCAGGGGAUGCGAUUUAGCAGGAUGGCAAAUGA